rnacentral:rRNA from 1 species
UGGGGAAUAUUGCACAAUGGGCGCAAGCCUGAUGCAGCCAUGCCGCGUGUGUGAAGAAGGCCUUCGGGUUGUAAAGCACUUUCAGCGGGGAGGAAGGCGGUGAGGUUAAUAACCUCAUCGAUUGACAUUACCCGCAGAAGAAGCACCGGCUAACUCCGUGCCAGCAGCCGCGGUAAUACGGAGGGUGCAAGCGUUAAUCGGAAUUACUGGGCGUAAAGCGCACGCAGGCGGUCUGUCAAGUCGGAUGUGAAAUCCCCGGGCUCAACCUGGGAACUGCAUUCGAAACUGGCAGGCUAGAGUCUUGUAGAGGGGGGUAGAAUUCCAGGUGUAGCGGUGAAAUGCGUAGAGAUCUGGAGGAAUACCGGUGGCGAAGGCGGCCCCCUGGACAAAGACUGACGCUCAGGUGCGAAAGCGUGGGGAGCAAACAGG